UACGAAGGGGGCGAGCGUUGUUCGGAUUUACUGGGCGUAAAGGGCGCGUAGGCGGCGGGUCAAGUCGAGUGUGAAAGCCCCGGGCUCAACCUGGGAAUGGCGCUUGAGACUGGCUGGCUGGAGUUCGGGAGAGGAGCGUGGAAUUCCCAGUGUAGAGGUGAAAUUCGUAGAUAUUGGGAAGAACACCGGUGGCGAAGGCGGCGCUCUGGACCGAUACUGACGCUGAGGCGCGAAAGCGUGGGGAGCAAACAGG
rnacentral:rRNA from 1 species